rnacentral:rRNA from 1 species
UACGGAGGAUGCGAGCGUUAUCCGGAUUUAUUAGGUUUAAAGGGUGUGUAGGCGGAUUAUUAAGUCAGUGGUGAAAUCUCAGAGCUUAACUCUGAAACUGCCAUUGAUACUGGUAAUCUUGAGUACAGUUGAAGUAGGCGGAAUGUGUAAUGUAGCGGUGAAAUGCUUAGAUAUUACACAGAACACCGAUUGCGAAGGCAGCUUACUAAGCUGUUACUGACGCUGAUGCACGAAAGCGUGGGGAGCGAACAGG